rnacentral:rRNA from 1 species
CUACGGGAUGCAGCAGUCGGGAAUAUUGCGCAAUGGAGGAAACUCUGACGCAGUGACGCCGCGUAUAGGAAGAAGGUUUUCGGAUUGUAAACUAUUGUCGUUAGGGAAGAUAAAAGACAGUACCUAAGGAGGAAGCUCCGGCUAACUACGUGCCAGCAGCCGCGGUAAUACGUAGGGAGCAAGCGUUAUCCGGAUUUAUUGGGUGUAAAGGGUGCGUAGACGGGAAGACAAGUUAGUUGUGAAAUCCCUCGGCUUAACUGAGGAACUGCAACUAAAACUAUUUUUCUUGAGUGUUGGGAGGAAAGUGGAAUUCCUAGUGUAGCGGUGAAAUGCGUAGAUAUUAGGAGGAACACCGGUGGCGAAGGCGACUUUCUGGACAAUAACUGACGUUGAGGCACGAAAGUGUGGGGAGCAAACAGGAUUAGAUACCCCCGUAGUC